ACAGAUUACCGGAACCUCGUUAACCCGGACGGCAGCGUUCGCUUGCAUUCUCCCGGAUUAACAGAUUUCUGGGUAAACAAAUCCUGGACGAGAUGAUUGUCCAAGACGAUUAAAGAUAAAAUCCAUCGAUAAUUCUGACAAAUAUUAAUUUCCACGACUCCUGAUGGUCAACAUGCCCAGAAAUACAGGCAACCAACUCCAUUGCAAUAAUCAUCAGAAAUCCACUGUAGGCUUCUGGCUGUAUCAAAGGCGUAUUUGUAUGCGCCACUGCUAAACAGACCACGUACUCGCUAUAUUGAGGCUUAUAUAUGGCAACUAAUGGGAUCGGGUGGUCAGGCUCGCUAACUUUGUUGACACAUUUUGUCCAUCCAUCAAACUAUAAAUUUUCUUCUCUAUUGAAUUGUUUAAAUGAAUUUGUAAUUCAAAAUGUUGCGGUUUUCAUUUAUCAAGCCAUGUUGAUACAAAAAUUGUAAAUAUGGAAUGUUCUAUAGGCCGGUGGCCUCCUCAGUACUGAAAUAAAGAUUGAUAGAAAGAU